CCCUGUAGCGCACUGCAUAGCGCGUUGGACUUCUAAUUCAAAUGUCGUGGGUUCGAAUCCCACCUUAGUUGGU
rnacentral:tRNA from 1 species